rnacentral:lncRNA from 1 species
AGGCCAGUCUUUAGGGGUGUCAGCCUGAAGAGUCAUGACCAACCAGUUCUGAAGAAGUCAAGGGCUCUGCCUGUGGCACUGAUCCAAGGGUGACUCAGAGGGAAGAUUGCCAUCCACCCAGUCACAAACAAUCCUUUUCGAAGCUCUGGUGGAUUUGCUUUGAAGGACUCUUGUCUUAGUAUUGACCAAGGCCUUGCUCAGCUUAUGAGAUUUGACAAGAACACAGGCCAGAGUGGGAUGGCUUCAUGGCUUGUCAGUGACCAGGUUGCCUGAAGCUGAUAGUUUUUGAGAUCAGAGAUCCCUGAGCUUACUCGAAAGCUCUCUGUUGGUGAAAUACAGAAAAGGUACAUCAGUGGGCAUGAGUAUAUCUGUAAGCAUCUAUCUGUCAUCUGUCUAUCUGCCUGUCUAUCUAUCUCUCUAGUUAUCUGUAUAUAUGUAUGUGUUGUACUUACAUGUGCAUAAAUACAUAUAUAAAUAAUAUAUAUUCAUAGAUUAUAUAUGUACACAUGCAAAUAUAAAUAUAUACAUAUACACAAGUAAAAUGUGUAUGUUUACACAAAUUAGUGUGCAUGGAUAAUAUUUAUAAUGACAUCAAUUAGAGAUCUAGAACUGAAAGGAAUCUCUGAGAAACCUUAAUAUCAGUAGAGAGAAUAUAAACAUUGAUGAGGAACUGGGCAAGCGAUUGUAUACAUCCAUAUAAUGUUUAUAUACAAAUACUUGCACUUAUAUAGAUAAAUGCAUCUAGAAAUAUGUUUGCUUGCAUGCAUUUAUGUGUCUAUG